rnacentral:rRNA from 1 species
CAGCAGCCGCGGGAAUACGUAGGGUGCGAGCGUUAAUCGGAAUUACUGGGCGUAAAGCGUGCGCAGGCGGUUAUAUAAGACAGAUGUGAAAUCCCCGGGCUCAACCUGGGACCUGCAUUUGUGACUGUAUAGCUAGAGUACGGUAGAGGGGGAUGGAAUUCCGCGUGUAGCAGUGAAAUGCGUAGAUAUGCGGAGGAACACUGAUGGCGAAGGCAAUUCCCUGGACCUGUACUGACGCUCAUGCACGAAAGCGUGGGGAGCAAACAGGAUUAGAUACCCCCGUAGUCCCUGUCUCUUAUAC